AUUGAACGCUGGCGGAAUGCUUUACACAUGCAAGUCGAACGGCAGCACGGGGGCAACCCUGGUGGCGAGUGGCGAACGGGUGAGUAAUGUAUCGGAACGUGCCCAGUCGUGGGGGAUAACGUAGUGGAAAUUACGCUAAUACCGCAUACGAUCUACGGAUGAAAGCGGGGGAUCGCAAGACCUCGCGCGAUUGGAGCGGCCGAUACCAGAUUAGGUAGUUGGUGGGGUAAAGGCUCACCAAGCCAACGAUCUGUAGCUGGUCUGAGAGGACGACCAGCCACACUGGAACUGGGACACGGUCCAGACUCCUACGGGAGGCAGCAGUGGGGAAUUUUGGACAAUGGGCGAAAGCCUGAUCCAGCCAUUCCGCGUGCAGGAUGAAGGCCUUCGGGUUGUAAACUGCUUUUGUACGGAGCGAAAAGGCUCUCUCUAAUACAGGGGGCUCAUGACGGUACCGUAAGAAUAAGCACCGGCUAACUACGUGCCAGCCGCCGCGGUAA
rnacentral:rRNA from 1 species